UAUAUUUGCAACUUUCAGAAAAGUACAUAAAAAUUAUUAAAAAAUAUUGGCAUG
rnacentral:ncRNA from 1 species